rnacentral:rRNA from 1 species
CCUACGGGUGGCAGCAGUGGGGAAUAUUGCGCAAUGGGGGGAACCCUGACGCAGCGACGCCGCGUGCGGGAAGGAGGCCUUCGGGUCGUACACCGCUUUCAGCAGGGAAGAAGCCUGAUGGUACCUGCAGAAGAAGCCCCGGCUAACUACGUGCCAGCAGCCGCGGUAAUACGUAGGGGGCGAGCGUUAUCCGGAUUCAUUGGGCGUAAAGCGCGCGCAGGCGGCCCGCCAAGCGGCCUCGUCGAAGCCGGGGGCUCAACCCCCGGAAGCGACCCGAACGGGCGGGCUCGAGUGGGGCAGGGGAGGAUGGAAUUCCCGGUGGAGCGGUGAAAUGCGCAGAUAUCGGGAGGAACACCGACGGCGAAGGCAGCCCUCUGGGCCUUCACUGACGCUGAGGCGCGAAAGCUGGGGGAGCGAACAGGAUUAGAUACCCCUGUAGUC